UAAAUUGUCAUGGCUUCUUUUUUUAGUGUUCUUGAUAUCUCAUACUUUUUUUUAGUUGUUCGGCUUUGAAUCUAAUGUAAAAUAAUUGAUGUUUCUUCCCAACUAACACCUAGAGGGGAUAAAUAGGUGUAUAAUGUGGAAUUAAAUUAACCACCAAUAAUAAGCAGUCACUAAUUAUUGACUCUAGAUGAACAAGUUUAAUUAAAUUAACCUAAUUAUUAAUCAAUCAAGCAUUCAAAUCCAAGCAGUAAAAGUAAAGAACACCAAUAUUUGUUAACAAAGGAAAACCCUUGAAGAACUCCCCAUGGAUAAGGAAAUCUUAUGACCACGCAACUUAUAAAUCAUCAAAGAACUCUUCAAUUGUGCCACCUGCACUUUCCAGAAACUCUGACUUCUUUUCCGUCCAUAUGGAUCACCAAAAAGCGAACCUUGUUCUUCUCCUAGUGGAACUCCAUCUGUCUCUCCUGAACUUCUGAAGGUAAAGGAUUUAGUUUAAGUGGUUUGAUCUUUGGAUAUUUUGUGUUUUGAUCAUGUGGUUGAGGCGAAAGAUUUAUGGAAUAUGUAUUUUAUCCCUGUAGGAUGUUCUCGACUAAAAUGAAGUCUCAACCAAUUUUCAGAGAUGGUUCGGAUGAACUAUGGCUUGGGUUUAAAAUAAUAUGGAGUGUUUGAGGUUUUUUGAGAUUGUAAAAUCAGUGGAAAAUCAUGAGGGUUGGCCGAAUAAUACGUUUGCUCGAGCGGAUAUCUCGCGGGUAGUGAGUGAUCACACGUCCGCUCGAACACUCAUGGCGUGGACGACGAGCGGUGGAAUUAUUGUUAAAACCACUCGAGCGGUCUCUAGGCGUGGUGCGAGCAGUUUUGCAUCAACUUUUUCUCCUUGUUCGGUUUUUGACUCCUUCAAAACACUUCCAACCCCCAACUCUCUGACCUUAAUGACAACUCAAUAAACUCUGAUUUUAAACACGCAACUAACCAAUACAAUUUGGACCCAACAAAAUGUAUUUCAAUAUUUGAGCAGGGGCUGCAAUAUACUAAAGGAAAAUCAGUAGUUGUGACUUGUGACAAUUAAAGUGAAGAGCAUCAUGUGGUGGUACUCUAUCGACGUGUUUCAGAAAGUUAUCUUUUUAAACUUAUACUGCCGUGUGAUUUUAUAAGAGGCAGACAUCAGCUUCCACUCAUAACGUCUUAAUCGCUCUUGCAUUACAUCUAUAAUACACACAUCUAUUUCCAUGGGAUCUACUCGCUUUGUGGUCAUUCCUCGCCAUGUUCUCUGGAUCAGCUGAGUUUUUGUUCUACUCCUGAAGUUCCCGCUACAUUUUUUUAGCAUUGACAUCUAGACCACUGUUGAUUUAUUCGGGUUUUCAAUUUGUUUUAGUCAAUUAAGUUUAGUGAUUUAUAUACGAUAUUUGGCUAGUGAUUGCUGAUUUUCUCAAAGAAAGGGUUGUCAAUUGUUAUGCUUUGUGCUAACUUCCUCUAGGCAUAUAUUGUUGCGCUUGUGAACAAAGUUUACGACCUCUUGGGUUAUUCUAUCACGCCGUCCUAACAGUAGCGCUAUUUUGAGUGAACGGGAUAGGGACAAGUAGUUAUGGUGUGCCAAGCAGCUCGUCAGAUAAGAUUUCGGGCAUGGAAACAUGAGAAUGGAAUUGCUGGGCGUGCCAUCAAUAUAGUAGUUAUAGCAUGCUUUCAACCUAUCCAGGAUUGCCAGGUUACUAUACAAUAUUUGAUUUUGGAGAACAAGAUUCAACCGAAAAAAUGUUAGUUACUUUUGUUUUAUUCUACAAUGCUCAUAAGAAAGCUUAAUAACUUUUUUUGGAUAUAUUUCAGGCUGAAUAUUUCCGCCAAUUGCUUAAACCUGUUAUGUAGAUUGAUUUUCUUUCUGCCACUUUCGAGUUAAGCUUGGCUUUACAGGUUAUGUUUAAAGUGAGAGGUGAGUUUUAUUACUACUGGUGUUUUAAACUGGCAAGACUUCGAUUUCUCUGUUUUUUCAUUUUGAUUCAAGGGUAUUUAACAUUUGAUUUGUCUAAUGAAUCAAUCUCUGCAUAUUGUUAGGUGAUUUUUCCGCUUAAAUGGAAAAGGACUUAGGUCAUCUCCAAACUUGCACCAAAUUUUGUACCAAAUUUUACACCAAAUCUUGCACUAAAUUAAAAUUCAUUUUCAACCAUUACACCAAAAGUUACACAAAAUGAACAGUGUUUAAUCAUUGUCUUCCUUUUUUUUUAUUCUUUAUAAUUUAUUUAUUUGAAAUAUUAUUUAUUUAAUUAUUUAAUAAAUACAUAAA
rnacentral:lncRNA from 1 species